AAGAACAGGCGCCGGCCUCGGCGUCCGCCGCGCAGUUAGGAAACUGACUGUCGCUCUCUCCGGCCUCGGCGCUGCUUCGGACGCCCCGGCACCGGCCCCCGUUGCUUUGUAGCAUUCUGCAGCUGGGCUGCAGGCGCCGUGGGCCUCCGCCAGUUGUGUUCGAGACGCGGUUCGGCCACAGAAGUUUUAGCUUGUGACUUUUGGCAAGUCAGUGGCCCUCUCUGGGCCUCAGGUGCCUUUUUUGCUGUGAGACCAGCGACUGUAUUUUUAACCCUGAUUUUAUCCCUAGAUCUACCCAACACAUAGUAGGUGCUCAAAAGAUAUUUAUGAGUGAAUGAAUGCAUCAUGAGAAGAAAUUGGACCAGAUGAGGCCCUGUGAAGCUGCUUGGGUCUUUUUUUGUUCUUUUUUUUUUCUCUCUUCUGAGUGUCCCUGGCCUGGACUAGAAAUUCUCCAUCCUUCGGCCUUCUGCGAGACUGCAGGAACAUUACUUUUGAAGGAUGCUAAGGAAUCCGAGGGAUGAAAAAAAUCAAGAGAUUGCAAUGAUGUCACAAAACAAGGAAACAAGUGCAGCAUCUUCACUCCGAAGCAGAAAUUUGCCAAAAAAGCAUCCUCUUUUUAUCAGAAAAUAAAAUAUCCUGGUUUCUUAGCCUGGCA
rnacentral:lncRNA from 1 species